GUGCGGAGGUGCUCCUCGCAGAGUUGUUUCUCGAGCAGCGGCAGUUCUCACUACAGCGCCAGGACGAGUCCGGUUCGUGUUCGUCCGCGGAGAUCUCUCUCAUCUCGCUCGGCUGCGGGAAAUCGGGCUGAAGCGACUGAGUCCGCGAUGGAGAAAACUUUAGAAACUGUUCCUUUGGAGAGGAAAAAGAGAGAAAAGGAACAGUUCCGUAAGCUCUUUAUUGGUGGCUUAAGCUUUGAAACCACAGAAGAAAGUUUGAGGAACUACUACGAACAAUGGGGAAAGCUUACAGACUGUGUAAUGAGGGAUCCUGCAAGCAAAAGAUCAAGAGGAUUUGGUUUUGUAACUUUUUCAUCCAUGGCUGAGGUUGAUGCUGCCAUGGCUGCAAGACCUCAUUCAAUUGAUGGGAGAGUAGUUGAGCCAAAACGUGCUGUAGCAAGAGAGGAAUCUGGAAAACCAGGGGCUCAUGUAACUGUGAAGAAGCUGUUUGUUGGCGGAAUUAAAGAAGAUACUGAGGAACAUCACCUUAGAGAUUACUUUGAGGAAUAUGG
rnacentral:lncRNA from 1 species